CUGGGGCGCUGGACCCGGGGAACCCAAAGGCCGGGCCUUCCGAAAGGUACGCGCGCGCCACUGCGCGUGCGUGAGCGCGCUGGGGUGGUGCGUUUGUGGCCUGCGGCGGCCGGCGUGUGCGCACGCGUGCCUGGUGGGGGCGGUGUUUUCUCUUUCAGCCCGCGGCUACCCGGGGGGAUGCCGGGAGUGAGGCCUUCCAGCAGCCACGCGGUCGGAGCCGAAAGGGUCUCCAGGUAGUGCCCAGAAGGGGAAACCGAGGCCCAGAGACACUGGUCCCGCACCGACCACCGGGGUCCCGCACCGACCACACCGACAUCUUCCCAAGUUCAGAGUGCAGUUACAGAAUUUCAAAAAUCAUUCUUUGAUCGUCCUAGUUGUUCAAGAUUCCACAUAUAAGCGAUCCUGGGCAUAUAUCUGGAGAAAACUAUAAUACAAAAAGAUACAUGCACCCCAGUGUUCGCUGCAGCACUAUUUACAAUAGCCAAGACAUGGAAGCAACCUAAAUGUCCAUCAACAGAUGAAUGCAUAAAAAAGAUGUGGUACAUAUAUACAGUGGAAUAUUACUCAGCCAUAAAAAAGAACAAAAUAAUACCAUUUGCAGCAACAUGGAUGGACCUAGAGAUUCUCAUACUGAAGAAAAGCAACAGAUGGCAUCUACACUUUAUAUGCCAAGAUGCUCUCUGAGAGUUUGGAGAGAGUCUGGGAGCAGCGUGAUGCGGACCAGGCCGGUUCCAGACUGAGGCAGAGCUGGAGUCUCCUCCCCAGGCUCCACAGCUCUCAGAGCAAGGCCGGAACAAGCUGGACUGUGGGCCUUUUGCUCUCGCAGAAUCUGGAAUUCACCUUGGAUUUUGGAAUCUGGAGAAUAAGCAUGUGGGAUCUUAGCUCCCCAACCAGGGAUCGAACCCGCACUCCCUGCAUUGGAAGGCAAAGUCUUUAACCACUGGACCACCAGGGAAGUCCCUAUUGCAGCACUAUUUACAAUAGCCAGGACAUGGAAGCAACCUAAAUGUCCAUCAACAGAAGAAUGGAUAAAGAAGAUGUGGUACAUAUAUGCAAUGGAAUAUUACUCAGCCAUAAAAAGGAACGAAAUUGUGCAAUUUGCAGAGAUGUGGAUGGACCUAGAGCCUGUCAUACAGAGUGAAGCAGAGAGAUCGCCAAAGCGCCCGGACAGUACCGCCAGCGCCUUCGCAGAAGCCCAGACUGGAGGCUGCGAGAACGAGGGUCAGCUCUCCGGUCGCCCACCCAACCCUGCGCCGCCCCCGGUGGCGUUCAGACAGCCUGUUUCAGGAGCCACAUGCGCUGGGUCUGCUCACUCAGACUGUUUAAGGUUUUGAGCUCAGUGGAAUAAGAAGUUUCCCUGCAGAUCUACGUGGCCUCUGGACUGAAAUACAGAAUACUUGGCAUCAGCCAGCUUUCCCUUUUUUCCCCACGCCUGUCCGCUGAGGAACACCCGGAGCUGGCAGAAGGGCAGGUAGGGGAGGGACACUUGGC